GCAAUCAUUAGUCAGGCUGUCGCAUCCGUUAUUUGUAUCAACACGCACGAUGUGUGAAUUGGUAUUGACACUGAUUAUGAUCUGCCGCUCGUAGUUGCAAUGUAGCUUCUAACUAAGCUUAAAGCUUAUUUGGAAUCCGCCUGUACCAUAACAAGAUGAAGACUAAGGUAUUGCUGAUAGUGUUGGUCGUCGCAGUGUUGUUGCUACACACUGGUGACGCCAGGAGACGUCGUUCCUGGUUCCGGAGGUUAUUUCGUUCGGGAAGACCGUGCAAGAUAUUGGGUAACAAAUGCCACUGGCACGGCCGAGAUGUGGGAGACGUUGACGAAGCAGCCGUGGGUCCUCACCUCGACAUACCCGAGACAUCUGCUGAGUCGAAGUGAGGUAACGAUUCUGUGAGCGUUGGGCAUACAUAUUGUGACAAUGUGAAGAUGGAUGCACAAUAAAACUCAACGACAAAGUUUCA